ensembl:lncRNA
UUAUCUUCUCUGCUUUCUUUCCUCAGCCUCCGUCGAUCAGGUUCUCAUUUUUUCGCCAAACUGCAAGCCUGUCUUCGAGUGAAUAAAUCUGAUGGCAGUCAACCCCAGCCCACACUGUAACGGCCGUCGUUUUUCCUGCCAGUGCACGAGUGUGAGUCGAAGUGUCCUGUUGUGACCCGGUGAGAGACAGAGUGGGAUAUUGAAAUCUGGAGACAGGUCAGGGAUUUUCCCUCCAUUCUUCAGGUCUUUAUUUAGAGGCAAUCAUAAAUUACGCUCACGAACAUUAUCAAGAACAGGACGGCACAUUAAUCCAGAAUAGCACCUUAUCUAAAGCUUGCCAGGAAGUAUGAGCAUUGCGCUUACAUAUGUACCGAGGUGCGGGCACCCGUCAGCUGCAACAUGGGCCACCGCGGGAGGGACGUGAAAUGUGGCCAUGGUUCUCGGUGGCUUUAAUGCCGUUACGAGGAGGCAGAAACAGGGCCGACCCCGGGGGCCUCCAGGGCCCAGUAAGCCAGUGGCAGGUCCACUUCAUCACCUCUCCUCCGAAUGAACUCUGGCUGAACCCCUCUGCUGUGGUUAUUUUCGCUGGCAUCUGCCGCUCCACGGCCGCCGACAUGAGAUGGAAUUUCAUUCAAAAAUGGAGAGUAUCCGGUUGAGUAUCCUUUCAGGUAUAAUAUGUAUAUAUAUAAUAUAUAUUUAUACCUAUUUUUUAUUUAUUUAUAUUUUGUUACAAUUUAUCCGUUUCAUCAGUUCACUACUCAUUACUUGAUUCUACUUUUUUAUUCUACUUCCUAUAUUG